rnacentral:tRNA from 2 species
AGCCCUUUAGCCCAACGGGAGAGGCGUCCCGACUUUAGUCGGGAUACGGUGUGAGUUCGAAUCUCUCAGGGGCUA